AACGUAGGUGGCGAGCGUUAUCCGGAUUUACUGGGCGUAAAGCAUGUGCAGACGGGUUGGUAAGUGGUGUAUGAAAGCGUCCGGCUUAACCGGGCAAGGGUAUGCCAGACUGCCAGUCUUGAGAAUGGGAGAGGGAUGUGGAAUUCCGGGUGUAGUGGUGAAAUGCGUAGAGAUCCGGAGGAACCCCAGAGGCGAAGGCGGCGUCCUGGACCGACACUGACGCUGAGGCGCGAAAGCUAGGGGAGCAAACGGG
rnacentral:rRNA from 1 species